rnacentral:rRNA from 1 species
GGACUACACGGGUAUCUAAUCCUGUUUGCUCCCCACGCUUUCGCGACUCAGCGUCAGUACCCUCCCAGAUGGCCGCCUUCGCCACCGGUGUUCCUCCCAAUAUCUACGAAUUUCACCUCUACACUGGGAAUUCCGCCAUCCUCGUCGGGACUCAAGCUCGCCAGUUUCGGACGCACUUCCAUGGUUGAGCCAUGGGUUUUCACAACCGACUUAACGAGCCGCCUACUCGCGCUUUACGCCCAAUAAUUCCGAGCAACGUUUGCACCCUCUGUAUUACCGCGGCUGCUGGCAC